UGAACGCUGGCGGCGUGCUUACCACAUGCAAGUCGAGCGAGAAGUUUUGAAAAGAUUCUUCGGAUGAAAUUUAAAAUGGAAAGCGGCGGACGGGUGAGUAACGCGUAGGCAACCUGCCCCAUACAAAGGGAUAGCAUUUGGAAACGAAUAUUAAUACCUUAUGAAACUUAACUAGUGCAUGCUAGGUAGGUCAAAGAUUUAUCGGUAUGGGAUGGGCCUGCGUCUGAUUAGCUAGUUGGUGAGGUAACGGCUCACCAAGGCGACGAUCAGUAGCCGACCUGAGAGGGUGAACGGCCACAUUGGAACUGAGACACGGUCCAAACUCCUACGGGAGGCAGCAGUGGGGAAUAUUGCACAAUGGGGGAAACCCUGAUGCAGCAACGCCGCGUGAACGAUGAAGGCCUUUGGGUCGUAAAGUUCUGUUCUAGGUGAUGAAAACUGACAGUAACCUAGGAGAAAGCCCCGGCUAACUCCGUG
rnacentral:rRNA from 1 species